GGCCAGGGGGUCUGGUUUUAUAGUCCCCUCAAGUGAACCUGGGCCGUCGGAUCAAACCGACAAUGAUUGAACGGUUAUUCUUGAUCCUUUAGGUCGGUGGAGCAUAAUCCGCGAGAUUGAGCGUGAUUGGCCGAAAAAGGUGGGCGGGCGCCCUAAGGACUUGGGCGGGCGCCCUGUCCCUGACUCCGUUCAGUCUCCGCUUCCCUCCCGUGGCUUCUGGAGUCUUCUAGAUGUAAGAUAAUUGCGCGGCACGUUGAUAUCUCUAUGUAAUCCCGACGUGUGGGCCUUUCUUCCUUAUUUCCUCAUAACCCUCUGCAGAAAUAGACAAACACCAAAACUCGUGGAAUUAUGUCAGAUAAAACCCUAAGUCUUGAUGUUGAAUUCAUUUGGAUCCUUUUCUUUGUUUAUUUGAUAGUUAAUUUUGAUACUUAAGGACCGUCAACAAACUCCCCCAAGCUUACCUCUUGCUCGUCCCUGAGUAAGGAUAGACUCAGCUAUGGAUCAUAAGUUGUUGCAAUAUCUUUAAAAAUUGACGGUACACAUGCUUUUAAAUGAGGUCUCAUCUCUGAGUUAGAGUAAACUGUCAAGACUUAAAACUUACUUACUUUACCUUUCACCAUGGGACUUGUAACCGUCACUUCUGUCUUGAGUGGUUAAAAGAUAGAACAGUCUUGUCAAGUGCCAUGUCUCUUAUUCUUGAUCAGCUAUAGCUCUGGAGUUUUUGCAGAUUUUUAAAUAAAACUCAGAGAUUCCUUUGUAUGACUCUCUCAUAUCUCUCUUUUGUGGUAUUUCUGGAUCCUUACCAAGGCAGUGAUGGUAUAUGCCUUCUCUCAAGAUAUGUGGUAUUUGUGGUAUAAGGCAUAGUGACAUUGCCUUCUCUCUCACCCUACUCUAAUAAGGCUUUAAUAUCUGGAGCUCAUAGGUGGGAGAUAAAGUAUACAUACUUACAAGACAUUUAUUGUAUAGUCAAACCAUGGAUCCAAAGAAACAAAUCAAUAAGCCAAAUCAAGAUGUGCAUGUGUGGCGAAUGAAUAGUUUAUGGUGAUGAUGGUGAUAACAAUGGUGAAAGUCUAAUUCUACUUUUGCUCUUUUGAGGGGAUACAUACCUUCCUUGCUUUUUGAAACUUUAUGAGGAGAAUGAGAUGCUCUUCUUUUUUCUUUUCUCUCAGAUGGGUAUCCUGUACCCCUAAUUCUACUGUCGGACACUUGUCCAUUUUUACCUCUUGUCUCACUCUUUUUCUUUUCUUUCGAGGUUCCGGGCACUUGCCCCUUUUUAUUUCCUCGUUUAUUUUUUUUCUUUUUUUUCAGAGCACUCAUCUCUUGAGAUAAUAUAGCAAGUGGUAGUAGCAAGAUAACUUGAGCAUUUAUUUCACAAGGGAAAAACACAGAUGUUUUUGGCUAUUCUCUCCCGAAUUAGGAGUAGAAUAUUUUUAGGUGAUUCUGGAGAUGGAAAUGGAUGGAUAUAUGUGGAUGGUACUUCUGGAGUAGAAGUAGCAUAUAUGAGUGAACGUGCAAGUGAAUCUUGAUUUAACCACAUGACAAGCUCCUAAGGGUCUACACAGCUUGACCACACUCAAUGCUCAUAAGCAGUAAAUAAUAAAUGUGUGGCUCAAAGUCUAGCAAGCAUGUAUAUAUGGCUGUGGUAGGAAUUUAAACUUUCAUCAUACAGGAACUCAUCGUGCAACAUUUUAAAGAUUUUCAAAGAUAAAAUUCUCCAUAAUUCUAGCAUCUCUAGGAAUAGAUAAACAGCAGCUCAACCUUCCCAUAUCAUAUCCGUUAACAACUUAGAUUUCAGAUCAAGUUUUCAUCCCAUAAGUUUAGAUCUAGAGCAAGCUUUAAAUUAUAACAGUUAUGUCUAAACUUGAGAGAGAACAUCAAAUUUGCAAAUUAGGCAGAGCAACUAUUCAUCAUAUCCAUGCUAGAGUUUUAUUAUUAAGAUUCAUAGCAAACUUUAUUUAUUUAUUUAUUUAGCAAACUAAGAAAAGAUAUAUAUAUAUAAGCAUAAAAUCUUUAUUUGGUUUUUCAUAGUUUAUGUAUUUUAAUAUUCUAAUAUAAUAUAAGUAUAAAGAUAGGUAGAAAUACUUAGCGAGAUAAAUAGGGGUGCUCUCCCCCAAGCUGAAUUUUGACGUAAUUUCUCUUGAUGUAGCUAGCAGGUGGCAGAGGUGUAUUUGAAAGUCAGCAGCAUUCUGACAGCGAUUAGAAUGUCCUCCAUCUGCUAGUCUUCUUGAUUCUUAAAUUCUGUGGAGCUCAAAUAGACAACAAAGCUUGUGGAACUAAUUAAGUGUUAGCAUAAAUAUCUAGCCUUCAUCACGUUGAGCUUCCUCAAUAAAUAUUACUCCCUGUUUUAUAUUUUUAUUUUAUAAAGUGGAAAAGAAAUAUUUAUUUUAUUUUUAUGCCACCACAGUGAAGGUACUUAUGGGUUUUAUGCCACUCGUAUACUCACAUGGGGCUUAGUAUUUUUUAAAAUUUUUAUUUUCUUUUCAAGAUAGCAUGAUUAACUAAUAAUCUAUUUAAGGAAAGUAAAUAAUUAAAUGGAAAAGGGAAUGCAGAAAGGAUAAAUAUGGAUAACUACCAAUCUUACCUUUCGGCGAGGGUUCAAUGUUUUAAGUCUUCUUGUCAAGACUUCUCAUCGUGUUCAUUCUUCAGGUGCGUCAUUUGAUUCAGGUGCGGACCUUGACGUCUGCACCUUUUAAUACGGUGUCACCCAUGUUUUUCGUUUGCCCAGCAGUUCGAAGUGCGGUGUUAGCAGUAUCUUGCUCAGUGUGUUUGUGCUACUAGUGUACCUGCUCAUAGAGACAAGACAGAGAUCAAGUGCAUGGGCCCUGUUGGUGGAAAACACCAACAGAACCAAAAGUGUAUUUGUUCUUCUCUAACCUUAAGCAUAGUGAGCAAGACAAAGUUGAUGGAUGAUAAGUUCAUGAGUGUAGCACAUAUAACAUUUGUCAGAUCAGAUCACUCAACCUUAUGAAAAGAUAAUCUAUCUAUGUAUAUGUAUUUUUCUUUAUAUCUCUCAAUGAUUGAAUGUGUAACAUUUUAGCUCAUAUGAUUAGGAGUGUGGGAUCAUGGAGGUAGUACUAAGAACAAGGAUUAAAGGACUAAACAUGUUGAACCAGUUGGGUUGGUUAAUCUAGAGUUGUAAAUCAUACACGUUUGUCUCUUUUAUUUAUAUGAACGCCAGAACCAAAGAGAAGCUUAUAAAAGUGAUAGUCAAGUACCUUAAGAUGUUACCUUGCUCGAAGAGUGAUGGUACAGUAUCAUCUUGUGGAAGCUUUCCUUUCUUAGCGGUUGUGCGUCGUGUUUGUGGCACCCUCCAUGGAUCAUCUUUCUAUGAUGAAUGAGCUUUGUCCUUCUUGUGCAAAUUGUUAAACUUCAUGUGUCACUCUCUUCGUCUCUUAUGUGAGUUUAUCUCAGGACUUCGCAAAUCGAUAUUGGAAGUUUUUCUGCAGGGGUUAGUCUGACAAAAUAUACCAAUAUCUACUCAAGCAGUUUUUUUAGUUCAAUAACCAAACUAGACUCCAUGUCUAAUCAGAUUAAGGAAGGCUAUUUAACCUAAGCACCAUGCUUAAUUUAAAUGCCAAUGGAAGUAUGGUGAGUACUUCCAAACCAACACUUGCUAGUAAAUAGACAAAGGUAGCAUGACAGCGUUUAUAGAGAUCUACUCAAGUGGAGAUGAAGUAGUGUGAUUAGUAUUUAAUAAAUGGAGCAUGUCUCAAAGGUAGGGACAACCAGCAUAGCAACAUGGCAAAGGAUGUUUUUAUGUAAAGUACUCCCCCAAGCUUGAAUUUUGCAAAAUUCAAGUUUGGAUGAAUUUAAUUCAAUGUUGUAUGAUGAUUGGUUGGACAUACCUUGUGCUUGUCAUUCAUCCGAUCUUCUUGCUCCAAUCUUAGAAAGGUUAGUGACAAGAAUACACGAAGGAAUAUUUUUUUUUUACAAUUAUCCUUAUAUGCUCAAUACACAAGGUAAUGUUGCAAAUAAUUAAAGGCUCAUGUUACGAUCUGAUCAAUGCUUAUUUUAAGACACUAAGCUUGUCCUUGGGAAACCAUCAGUUUAUGUUGGUGAAGUGGUUUCCCCUCCGACGCCAACCUAUAUCUAGAUCAACUCAACGAGAUCUGCAAUAUUUAUUAUAGACAUAUGCAUCGACAACCGCCCUUUUAAAGUUUUUAUAAAUAGAAAGGAAGAGGGGGUUGGAGAUCUCAAGUGUGGUGAUGUCGGAGAGACCAAUAGAUUGGGAAGAUGUUGCAUAUGAGCAUGGAGUAAACGAAGUGGCUAUGAAAUAAAUUCCAUGCUCAUUAAUGUUAUCUUCGUCUCUAAUCUGAAUGUUCGGAGUUUCUCCUGGAUUGGUCUCACCUAUGUCCUCUUCUGUAGUUGGAUGAAUCUCAUCUUCAAAGGGAGUCAAGAACUCACCAUUUGAAAUUAAGCCAAAGUCAGAACCCAUUAAGGCUUCUUCCUUAUCCAUCCAUUCUACACAUUCUAGCCAUUUACAACUUGUGAUCAAAAUAGAGGAGGUGUUAGAAUUUUCUAUAUGGCUUAGCUCUCCUUCUAUGGCAUUAUUUGACAUGCCAUCCUUAUGGUCUUCAUGACUCCUAUGGUUUGGUCGUCUUGGUAAAUUGCUAGGAUCAUCAUGAGACUAAAAAGAAGAGGGAUAAGAGGGAUCUCUAAGGUCAAGGAUGGAUUUAGAACUUGUGAACAUGGAAGGGGAGUAGAUAGAAUUGUCUAUAUGGCUUAGCUCUCCUUCACUUGAUAUGUCAUCCUCGACUUCUUCAUGAUAGGAACCAGGACAUUCUCUAAGAGAAACAUUAUUGCAAUGAUUUGAAUUAUCCCUGCUUAAAGGUCUCUUAUAGAACCAGAAGUCUAAACCAUCAGCAUCUAAAAGAUUUAAGGUCGGAAUUCCUUCCUCCCUUAGAGAAUUUUGGGGUAUUGAUGGUUUAGGAUCGAUAGCUGAAGUUUGGGACUGAAGUGGUUGUGAUCUGGCUAUAGAAACUUCUUCUUCUUGUCUAGGAACUGGUUCUUUCUCUUUCUCAGGGAUAUAAAAGCUAGGAGACUUUCCGCUCAUUAAAUCAAUCAAAUUCCAAGCUUCACUAGCGGAUAGGUGGUGGAAAGAUCCUCCAGAGGCCGCAUGAAGGGUUUGCUUAUCUUCCUUACUAAGGCCCUCAAAAAAGUGAAUUAGAAGAACUUCUUCUGGAAUAGAAAGUUUUGGGCAAGUGAGAGUAAGGUUAAUAAAGCGGUCCCAUGAUUUGCCAAGAGAUUCUUCUUCCAAUUGUCUAAAAGAAAGAUUCUCACCCCGAAGUUCCACCACUUUGGAGAUUGGAAAAUAUUUAGAAAGAAAACUACUAUAUAACUCCUUCCAAUCUCCAUAAACACUCCCUACUUUGAGUUUAUACCAAUGUCUAGCUUUUCCCGUUAAAGAGAACGGAAAGAGCUUCCAUUUAAGGGUCUCAUCGGACAUGCCUUCUAUGCGAAGGAGGUCACAGACUCGAUAAAACUCUCUUAGGUGUGUGUAUGGGUUUUCCUCACCUUCUCCUGAGAAAGGUUGUUUUUGAAUAAAUUCUAUGUAUUCGGGGUCUAUCUCAAAACUAGAUGUUAUGAUAGGCUUUGAAGAUUUUGGUGGUUCGAGAUGUGUGCCCAUAGGUCUAUGAAAUUCAUAGAUAGACAUGUUUGAAUUCAUAAUAGACCAGAGAUCAAGGAUUAGAUAAGAAGAAAGAAUAGCAGAGAUGAGGCAAAGGAUAAAAUAAAAAUAUUUUUUUUGUUAUAUAUAUUUUUUUUAUAAAAUGAUUAAACUAGUUCAUAGUCAACUCAGCUACCGUUUCCCCGGCAACGGCGCCAAAAAUGCUUGUUGACACUUGCUAACACCACUUUAAUACUAGGUUGUCAUCCCCAACGUGGCACUAGAGUGUACUAUGGUAUUUAUACGCACACAGAUAAUCCGCAAGCGCACGGAUACCGUUGAAGCUUUUACCCGGUUAAAGGUUUUAUCGUAUCCACAGGGAAACGGGAGAACUGAUCUACGCUCUAACUUAACCAAGAUAAGUAAAUAGGUGUGAAUAGGAAAGAUGGUAGAAUCGAAUAAGAACAAUAUUAAAGGUAAGAUAACAGUGAGUGAUAAUAUGGGAAUAGAGAAUAGAGCAAUUCUAGUAUAUGGGCGAUGGUAGCAGAAUAGAGAGGAUAACUAUGGUUUCUCUACUUCAAAGGGGUAUGUCUAUGUCUGGGACAAACCACGUGAUAAGAGUACACCACAAAGGAUGCUUAUCCAUAGGCUGAUAAACCCUACCCGUCCUGCUAACGAGAGGUGGACUACAGGGGACCAACGUAACUGUCACUUACGCGGCCUACCACACAAUCCAGCUAGUCAGGGGAUAUCCAUAAGUAAUCUAGGUCUAAGCACCACGCUUACACCUAUACUACAACUCUAACCAAUAGGGUCCUAUAGAUUAGAAGUACUCAAAAGAGUUGUGAACCAGAACAUACAUGAUUAGUAAUUGCAUAAUGAAUUAGAAGUAGAUUACCAGAGUCAUCCCAUGAGCAAGCUUGAUCAUGGCGAAGUACAACCGGAGGAAGAACCGACAGGCCAGCCUCUCCUCUAAUCCUCCUUUGCUCUCCAUCUUGCUACUAUCUAGAUCUACUCUAGUUUAGAGAAGAGAGGAGAGCUCUCAUCUCUAAACCCUAGCUUUUGCUCUGUCUAUGAAUAAUGAAUAAUGAUCAAGGGGUGCCUCCUCCAGGGGCCAGGGGGUCUGGUUUUAUAGUCCCCUCAAGUGAACCUGGGCCGUCGGAUAAAACCGACAUUGAUUGAACAGUUAUUCUUGAUCCUUUAGGUCGGUGGAGCAUAAUCCGCGAGAUUGAGCGUGAUUGGCCGAAAAAGGUGGGCGGGCGCCCUAAGGACUAGGGCGGGCGCCCUGUCCCUGACUCCGUUCGGUCUCCGCUUCCCUCCCGUGGCUUCUGGAGUCUUCUAGAUGUAAGAUAAUUGCGCGGCACGUUGAUAUCUCUAUGUAAUCCCGACGUGUGGGCCUUUCUUCCUUAUUUCUUGAUAACCCCC
rnacentral:lncRNA from 1 species